CCUACGGGAGGCAGCAGUGGGGAAUCUUGCGCAAUGGGCGAAAGCCUGACGCAGCAACGCCGCGUGCGGGAUGAAGGCCUUCGGGUUGUAAACCGCUUUCAGCAGGGACGAAGAUGACGGUACCUGCAGAAGAAGCCCCGGCCAACUACGUGCCAGCAGCCGCGGUAACACGUAGGGGGCGAGCGUUGUCCGGAUUUAUUGGGCGUAAAGAGCUCGUAGGCGGUUCCGUCAGUCGGGUGUGAAAACUCUGGGCUCAACCCAGGGACGCCACCCGAUACUGCGGUGACUAGAGUCCGGUAGGGGAGUGCGGAAUUCCUGGUGUAGCGGUGAAAUGCGCAGAUAUCAGGAGGAACACCAACGGCGAAGGCAGCACUCUGGGCCGGUACUGACGCUGAGGAGCGAAAGCGUGGGGAGCGAACAGGAUUAGAUACCCUGGUAGUCCACGCCGUAAACGUUGGGCACUAGGUGUGGGACCUUUCCAACGGGUUCCGUGCCGCAGCUAACGCAUUAAGUGCCCCGCCUGGGGAGUACGGCCGCAAGGCUAAAACUCAAAGGAAUUGACGG
rnacentral:rRNA from 1 species